rnacentral:rRNA from 1 species
AGGAUAAACGCUGGCGGCGUGCCUAACACAUGCAAGUCGAACGUCCUACGCAAGUAGGGAGUGGCGGACGGGUGAGUAACACGUGGGCAAUCUACCUUUCGGUGAGGAAUACCGGCGAGAAAUCGCCGACAAUACCGCAUACGCUUCGCAAGAAGCAAAGUCGCAAGACGCCGGAGGAGGAGCCUGCGCCCGAUUAGCUGGUUGGCGGGGUAAUGGCCCACCAAGACGAUGAUCGGUA